rnacentral:rRNA from 1 species
AGCUCCAAUAGCGUAUAUUAAAGUUGUUGCAGUUAAAAAGCUCGUAGUUGGAUCUCGGGUCCAGGCCUGCGGUUCGCCUCACGGCGACUACUGCUUGCCCUGACCUACCUGCCGGUCUAUCCUUGGUGCUCUUGACUGAGUGUCUCGGGUUGCCGGAACGUUUACUUUGAAAAAAUUAGAGUGUUCAAAGCAGGCAAUUCGCCUGAAUACUGGUGCAUGGAAUAAUGGAAUAGGACCUCGGUUCUAUUUUGUUGGUUUUCGGAACUCGAGGUAAUGAUUAAGAGGGACGGACGGGGGCAUUCGUAUUACGGUGUUAGAGGUGAAAUUCUUGGAUCGCCGUAAGACGAACUACUGCGAAAGCAUUUGCCAAGAAUGUUUUCA